rnacentral:rRNA from 1 species
AUUGAACGCUGGCGGCAGGCCUAACACAUGCAAGUCGAGCGGAUGAGAGGAGCUUGCUCCUUGAUUCAGCGGCGGACGGGUGAGUAAUGCCUAGGAAUCUGCCUGGUAGUGGGGGAUAACGUUCCGAAAGGAACGCUAAUACCGCAUACGUCCUACGGGAGAAAGCAGGGGACCUUCGGGCCUUGCGCUAUCAGAUGAGCCUAGGUCGGAUUAGCUAGUUGGUGAGGUAAUGGCUCACCAAGGCGACGAUCCGUAACUGGUCUGAGAGGAUGAUCAGUCACACUGGAACUGAGACACGGUCCAGACUCCUACGGGAGGCAGCAGUGGGGAAUAUUGGACAAUGGGCGAAAGCCUGAUCCAGCCAUGCCGCGUGUGUGAAGAAGGUCUUCGGAUUGUAAAGCACUUUAAGUUGGGAGGAAGGGCAGUAAGUUAAUACCUUGCUGUUUUGACGUUACCAACAGAAUAAGCACCGGCUAACUUCGUGCCAGCAGCCGCAGUAACAC